rnacentral:tRNA from 1 species
UUUGGUUAUAGUUUGGUGGUAGACUAUGUGCUUAGCAUGUGUGAGGCCCUGGGUUCAAUCCCCAGUGCCAGAA